rnacentral:rRNA from 1 species
ACUUCAGAAUUGUGCAGCACCACCACCAGCAAGGUAGGUCAGAUCAGAAGGAUGCCCCCCUGCAGAUGGGAGGGCACCACGGCCACCGUGGAAAGAAGGCGAUGCAAGCAGAAACUUAGGAAAGCGAUGGACACAUUGCCUUUCCCUUCUUGGUGUAACACGGGUUACUCUCCUUAG